UACGGAGGGUGCGAGCGUUGCUCGGAAUCACUGGGCGUAAAGGGCGUGUAGGCGGUCCGCUAAGUCUGAUGUGAAAGCCCGGGGCUCACCCCCGGAAGUGCAUUGGAAACUGGCGGACUCGAGUCCCGGAGAGGAGGGUGGAAUUCCUGGUGUAGCGGUGAAAUGCGUAGAUAUCAGGAGGAACACCGGUGGCGAAGGCGGCCCUCUGGACGGUGACUGACGCUGAGACGCGAAAGCGUGGGGAGCAAACAGG
rnacentral:rRNA from 1 species